GUCUGGCCGUCUCCCUCCGCUCCGAACUCCACCACUGCCGCGGCGCGCGCGAUGGAGCCAGACGCCGACGAGGACUACAUGGGCGACCUCUCCCACUUCCUCCAGCCGAGUCCGUCCUCCUCCGCAUCGAGGAACCUCGGGCGCCGGAAGCAGCCACCCGCGCCGGCGCAGGCGCAGACGCGAGCGAAGCGCGGGAAGGGGGUGCCGUGGCGGGAGCGGCGGCGGCAGGAGCGCGAGAGGAAGCAGCGGGAGGAGGACGCCCGCACGAUGGCCGGGAUCGCGGAGGCCAUCCCGGAGAGCAACGUGGGGUUCAGGAUGCUGAAGCAGAUGGGGUACGACCCGGGGUCGCGCGGCGCCGCCGAGCCGGUCGGCAUCGAGAUCCGCCGCUCGAGAGCCGGCCUAGGGGCGGAGCCUGCGGUGGCACCGGCGCCGGCCCCGGCCCCGGUGGAGAAGACGCGGGCGGCGGUGGAGACGGAGCGGAGGCGGCAGGAGGAGAUGAUGGGGGAGCUGAGGGCGAGGAAGAGCACGCAAUGGAGGGGGCGGAGGUUGGUGUGGGACUUCCGCAAGGCCGAGGCGGCGCUCGCGCAGCUGGAGAACCGGGAGGUGGAGCCGCCGGCGCCAGAGGGGGAGGAGAAGGAUAAAGAGGCAGAGGAGGAAGAGGAGGUGAUCACAGAAGAGGAUUUGCAAAACAUAUUGUCUAAGUUGCGCGAUCAAUACCAGUAUUGCCUAUAUUGUGGGUGCAAGUAUGAAUCAGCAGAAGCACUGGCAAAGGAAUGCCCCGGCCCAAAUGAGGAAGACCAUUGAUUUGUUGUGUGAAGGGUGCCAUAGAAUUGUCCUUGAUACAACAGUUUGCUGCUAGAAUGGAAUCUCGGUGCAGUGCAAUAGCAAUUUUGCUGCGAGUCUUGUGUCGUCUAAGGAUCCAUGAUUGCUGAUGAUAUGCCUGGAAAGGGACGUGAUCACAGAAGGCUGUAAAGAAGUAUAAGCUUUCCAACUGAUGGAGUGAGGGAGCUAUAUUUUUGGACAUCUGCUCGAGUUUGUAGUUGAGGCUCGUGAAUGCCCAAUCCUACUUUCUCCAACUUCUACAGUAGCAUGAUGGAAUCUCUGUACUGUGUGUCGUCUAUGGAUCCAUGAUCAUGGGCGAUAUGCCUGGAAUAAUAACUGCUUACUGUCCCAGGAGCUACCAUAAUCCCAUAUGGCUACAGCAUUUGAGGUUAACACAAUUUCAUUGGUCUUCUUUCUA